rnacentral:rRNA from 1 species
AUCGUAGAAGAAUCCCCAGAGACUACACGCAAGACAGAUUUGUAACAUGAAUAGUCGACGUUACAAAGAUGAUAAUAUAGUCCGAUCCUUAUGGCGACAUAAGGUUACGAAGCGACUGUAAAUGCUUAGUAUUUAAAACACACAGAACGGUCCUAAGGUAGCGUAAUUCCUUGUCUGGUAAUUUCAGACGUGCACGAAUGGCGUAAUGACUGGGACACUGUCUCGAGGAAGAGCCCGGUGAAAAUACAAUGGCGGUAAAGAUGCCGCCUACCUGCAGCUAGACGAAAAGACCCCGGCAGCUGGGCUACAGCUUGAUAUUGGUGUUGUGUUUGCAAUGCGUAGCAUAGAUGGGAGACUUUGAAGCUAUCCUUUUGGGGAUAGUGGAGUCGUCAGUGAAAUACCAUUCUUUGCAUUUGCUUCACCUAACCUGCAAGGAAAAACCUUAUGGAGACAGUAUCUGGUGGGUAGUUUUAGUGGGGCGCUAUCCUCCUAAAAAGUAACGGAGGAGCUUAAAGGUUCUCUAGGCGUGGAUGGAAACCAUGCUGAUAGUGUAAUGGCAUAAGAGAGCUUGACUGCAAGGGGUACGACCCAAGCAGGUACGAAAGUAGAACAUAGUGAACCGACAGUUUGCCUUAGAUGCAGCUGGAGAUUAACGGAUAACAGUUACGCCGGGGAUAACAGGCUGAUGGUGCCCAAGCGUCCAAAUCGACGGCACCGUUUGGCACCUCGAUGUCGGCUCACCUCAUCCUGGGGCUGGAGCAGGUCCCAAGGGUUCGGCUGUUCGCCGUUUAAAGAGGUACGUGAGCUGGGUUUAGAACGUCGUGAGACAGUUCGGUCCCUAUCUGCCGUGGGUGUAGGAUACUUGAGAGGAGUUGCCCCUAGUACGAGAGGACCGGGGUGAACGUUCCACUGGUGGACCAGUUGUCAUGCCAAUGGCAGUGCUGGGUAGCUAUGAACGGACAGGAUAACCGCUGAAGGCAUCUAAGCGGGAAGCCCCCCUUAAAACAAGGUAUCCCUGAGAGCCGAGGUAGACCACCUCGUCGAUAGGCCAGAGAUGUAAGCGCGGCAACGCGUUCAGUUGACUGGUACUAAUUGCUCGAUAGGCUUGAUUUG